GUAGUCAUAUGCUUGUCUCAAAGAUUAAGCCAUGCAUGUCUAAGUAUAAGCAACUAUACAGUGAAACUGCGAAUGGCUCAUUAAAUCAGUUAUCGUUUAUUUGAUAGUACCCCACUACUUGGAUAACCGUGGUAAUUCUAGAGCUAAUACAUGCUAAAAAUCCCGACCUCCGGAAAGGAUGUAUUUAUUAGAUAAAAAACCAAUGCCCUCGGGCUUGUUGGUGAUUCAUGAUAACUAAACGAAUCGCAUGGCCUUGCGCCGGCGAUGGUUCAUUCAAAUUUCUGCCCUAUCAACUUUCGAUGGUAGGAUAGUGGCCUACCAUGGUUUCAACGGGUAACGGGGAAUUAGGGUUCUAUUCCGGAGAGGAAGCCUGAGAAACGGCUACCACAUCCAAGGAAGGCAGCAGGCGCGCAAAUUACCCAAUACCGACUCGGUGAGGUAGUGAUGAUAAAUACUGAUACAGGGCUCUUUUGGGUCUUGUAAUUGGAAUGAGUACAAUUUAAAUCCCUUAACGAGGAACAAUUGGGGGGCAAGUCUGGUGCCAGCAGCC
rnacentral:rRNA from 1 species